CCAUGUACAACGAUGCUGUCAGUAAGGUGAGAGUUGGCCUUGAAUACAGUGAUGAAUGUAACGUGCAAGUUGGAGUUCACCAGGGAUCAGUCCUUAGUCCAUUCUUAUUCAUCAUAGUUCUCCAGGCCAUAACAGAUGAAUUCAAAACUGGAUAAAUUCAAAACUGUUG